GUGGGGAAUAUUGGACAAUGGGGGGAACCCUGAUCCAGCCAUGCCGCGUGUGUGAAGAAGGCCUUUUGGUUGUAAGGCACUUUAAGCGAGGAGGAGGCUACCGAGAUUAAUACUCUUGGAUAGUGGACGUUACUCGCAGAAUAAGCACCGGCUAACUCUGUGCCAGCAGCCGCGGUAAUACAGAGGGUGCAAGCGUUAAUCGGAUUUACUGUGCGUAAAGCGCGCGUAGGUGGCCAAUUAAGUCAAAUGUGAAAUCCCCGAGCUUAACUUGGGAAUUGCAUUCGAUACUGGUUGGCUAGAGUAUGGGAGAGGAUGGUAGAAUUCCAGGUGUAGCGGUGAAAUGCGUAGAGAUCUGGAGGAAUACCGAUGGCGAAGGCAGCCAUCUGGCCUAAUACUGACACUGAGGUGCGAAAGCAUGGGGAGCAAACAGGAUUAGAUACCCGGGUAGUCC
rnacentral:rRNA from 1 species